rnacentral:rRNA from 1 species
GGGGGAAAAAAACCCCGAGGGGUAGCGCGGGCACUCGUCCGAGGAGGUGUUCCCCCCCCCCCGGGGUUGGAACCCCGGCCAAAAUCCUCCCGCGGAGCCCACCCAAGGGGGGAAUAACCCCACAAGGGGGAACCCUGGGCGACACCCCGUGGAGAAAAACAUUUAAGGGGUGAACCCCUUUACCAAGGAAGAAGAUGCCGGACUUGAUGGAUAACCCCGGGUAACCCCGGCCCACAACCGCGGUAACCCGGAGGGCCCAAACCGUACUCGGGAACCACCUGGGCGUAAACCCAUUAGCGUUGUUAAUUAGAAUGGAAACCUACGCUCAACCCUGGGACAGCUUCUGAAACUGGAAUGACUAGAUCUGGGGAGAGGAAGAUGGAAUUAGUAUGUAGGGGUAAAAUCCGUAGAGAUUACCUAGGAAUACCGAAACGAAGGCGAUCUUCUGGAACAGGACUGACGCUGAGAUGCGAAAGCUGGGGAGCAAACAGGAUUAGAUACCCUGGUAGUCCACGCCCUAACGAUGAAUGUUAUCGUUGGAGUGCUAGCCACUUCAGUGAUGCAGCUAACGCAUUAAACAUUCCGCCUGGGGAGUACGGCCGCAAGGUUAAAACUCAAAGGAAUAGACGGGGACCCGCACAAUGUGGAGCAUGUGGUUUAAUUCGAAGAUACGCGAAGAACCUUACCUGGCCUUGACAUAUACCAGAAUCUACCAGAGAUGUGGAGUGCCUUCGGGAGCUGGUAUACAGGUGCUGCACGGCUGUCGUCAGCUCGUGUCGUGAGAUGUUGGGUUAAGUCCCGCAACGAGCGCAACCCUCGUGACUAGUUUACUAACAGCAUAGGCUGAGGACUCUAGUCAGACUGCCUUCGUAAGGAGGAGGAAGGUGAGGACGACGUCAAGUCAUCAUGGCCCUUACGCCAGGGCGACACACGUGCUACAAUGGGAAGGACAAAGAGAAGCAAAACUGUGAGGUGGAGCAAAGUCGUAGUAAACCGUUCGUCUCAGUUCGGAUCAGUCUGCAACUCGACUGCAUGAAGCUGAAUCACGUAGGACGAUUCU